AUGAGGAUCCCGCGGGCUGCCGUUGUCAUUUUCAAUUUGGCAUGUUUUCACACUCUCCGCCAUCUUGAUCCUGCGGUUGUACUUACUUUGAAUUAUGUGAUAUUCCUGGCUUCACAAUCUGAACUGCACAUGGGUGAAUAUCGCGUGGUUGGGAUUUUCUUGUUUAGAAUCUUGUUUGCUGUUGACUUCGAGGCUGUGGAGCAUGUGGCAUCUCCAAUCCUCACAUCAAGACCAGGAUCGGAUCAUCACCGUAUCUUUUCUUCAGAAAUACUAUACUGCAUGCCAGGUUGGGGUCAGGUCCAUAGACCAAGUAGUAUCAAGUUAACUUGCUGUUUAGUUGGCUAA
rnacentral:rRNA from 1 species